rnacentral:rRNA from 1 species
CAGUAGGGAAUCUUCCACAAUGGGCGAAAGCCUGAUGGAGCAACGCCGCGUGUGUGAUGAAGGGUUUCGGCUCGUAAAACACUGUUGUAAGAGAAGAAUGACAUUGAGAGUAACUGUUCAAUGUGUGACGGUAUCUUACCAGAAAGGAACGGCUAAUACGUGCCAG